rnacentral:rRNA from 1 species
AGGGUUUGAUUAUGGCUCAGGACGAACGCUGGCGGCGUGCUUAACACAUGCAAGUCGAACGGAGCACCCUUGAUUGAGGUUUCGGCCAAAUGAUAGGAAUGCUUAGUGGCGGACUGGUGAGUAACGCGUGAGGAACCUGCCUCUCAGAGGGGGACAACAGUUGGAAACGACUGCUAAUACCGCAUGACACAUUCGGGCGGCAUCGCCUGGAUGUCAAAGAUUUUAUCGCUGAGAGAUGGCCUCGCGUCUGAUUAGCUAGUUGGUGAGGUAACGGCCCACCAAGGCGACGAUCAGUAGCCGGACUGAGAGGUUGACCGGCCACAUUGGGACUGAGAUACGGCCCAG